rnacentral:rRNA from 1 species
CGACGCCGCGUGAGGGAUGACAGCCUUCGGGUUGUAAACCUCUGUUGUAUGGGAAGAAGGAAGUGACGGUACCAUACGAGGAAGCUCCGGCUAACUACGUGCCAGCAGCCGCGGUAAUACGUAGGGAGCGAGCGUUGUCCGGAAUUACUGGGCGUAAAGGGCACGCAGGCGGUCAUAUAAGUCAGCUGUUAAAUGUAUGGGCUUAACCGAUGCAUGCGGUUGAAACUGUAUGACUGGAGUACUGGAGAGGUAAGCGGAAUUCCCGGUGUAGCGGUGAAAUGCGUAGAUAUCGGGAAGAACACCAGUGGCGAAGGCGGCUUACUGGCCAGUUACUGACGCUGAGGUGCGAAAGCCAGGGGAGCGAACCGGAUUAGAUACCCGGGUAGUCCUGGCCGUAAACGAUGAAUGCUAGGUGUGGGUAUAGCGAUAUAUCCGUGCCGGAGUUAACGCGAUAAGCAUUCCGCCUGGGGAGUACGGUCGCAAGAUUGAAACUCAAAUGAAUUG